UUAGAAUGCACCUUCAAUACACGAAAUUUGGCAGCGGAAGAGGCCCAGGCGGCUGGGUGAGGCGCUGAGACGGUUUAGCGGUGAGUCCUGGGCCAGGCGCAGCUAAAAGCCCCGCAACCCGGGAGGGCGACGCCAAAACAAACCAGAGGACUUGGGAUAUUCCGGAGCAGGUGCCGCUGCCGCCGCUUCUGCCGCCGCCGGAGGACUCGGCCCUGAACGGCCUGCAGGCCUGGGCGCGGCCCGCGGAGCCAGACGCGUUGCUGCCGUGAGUAAAACGAGCGCCCGCAGCCGCUUACGAAUUAAAAUGGAGGAAAUUUCCUUGGCCAAGCUGGAUACUAACAAGCUAGAGGCCAUCGCCCAGGAGAUUUAGGUAGACCUGAUAGAGGAUUCUUGUUUGGGAUUCUGCUUUGAGGUGCACCGGGCAGUCAAGUGUGGCUGCUUCUACCUGGAGUUGGCAGAGACUGGUAGCGAAAGCAUUUUGGCAUUCGGCCAGUGGAAGACGAAGGAGCCUGCGGUCUCCAGCUUUGCUCCCUUCCGGGAGACCUGGGAAUGGGCCCGAUCAGCAGCUGCAGCGCUCACCUGCGGAAUUCCAGUAGCUGCAAAAUGAGAUUCUGAGAGUGGCCAGGACGAUAACAUAGACUGGUCCUGUGGCGUGGAGGAGUGAGCUAAGUAGAAAAAAGUAGGAAAAAAAAAAUCACACAAAAGUUCUAAUUCCCCUUGAAGAUCUUAGCAUUUAAAAACCCAAAGUGGAUAAUUUAGGAAUCCUUUUUUAAAGUAUAUCACCUGGAGCCAGCUCUGAAGCCCCGGGCAGGAGGAGCCGCACAGCCUGCGGGCCAUGCAGUGCCUGUUGAUCUCUACACAUACCAGGAUGUGCUCAAGAUUCUGUAGUGCCCCCAAUGCACAGGUGAGCAGUGUGUGCCCAGCAUAUAAAAUUUUUGGUUCCUCAGCUUUUCUGUCUGCCUGAUGUCAAGGACUUCCUGGACAGUUUGGACAUUAUGGUUCAUCCGUAAUCAGUGGCCUGCAAUGGGACUGCUCAUUUGAUGUCUGAACCUCUGAUAUGGGCUUCUCUGAGACAAGUAAAUGUCAGGUGCAAAAUCUGGAUACUAACAAUUUCAAUUUGGGAAAUCCAAGAAAAAGAAUUCUCAAGUUUGAUAGGGAAGCACUGUAGCCCUGACUCCAGCAAGAAGAAAUGGUCGAAACCACCUGUUUCCCAAAGGUCCAGCCUUUGUAAUGAUUUCAGCUGACUUGAGGAGAAGGCCUAGCGCUUGACUGAGCAGUGCCCUCUUCCUUGCCCUCCAAACUGGUGGCAUAAACUUGGCACAUGGACAACUUGGUUGUCCAGUCAGGCUGAGGAUUCGGCUAUGAUCCCCUGGGGAGGUAGAGGGGACCUCUGCAACUAUGCACGAUCUCUCAAACUGCAAGAUUCAUGUCUGGAUGUAUUAUGCUGUGGGCAUAAGUUUAGGAGGGUGGUCAUUUCCUACUCUGGGUUACUGGUUACCUAGCCAGUCCAUGGGUUUGACUUGGUCAUU